rnacentral:lncRNA from 1 species
CUGCUGAUGAAAAUGAAGAUGGAACAGGACUAUCUCAGCCCAAAGGACAAGGACAUUUGCCAUCAAGUGGCCUUUGUUCUAUUCCCAACCCCUCUAUCAUCUCUUCAAAAUUGGGUGGCUUUCCUAUCUCCCUAGCAAUGGCCACGAUGCCUGAAGCCACAGGAAGAUGGGCAGGUAUGCAGAGCUCCCGGAACACUGCACUCAGCUCACUGGCCUUCAAGCCUCUGGAUGGAGCCUUAACUUGUAUCUUAUAUAGAUACUUAAUCGCUGUCCUUUCAAGCAACGAAGAUAGAUAAUAUGUAAUCCUUGCCAGGGCCCCCAGCCCUCAGUGAUUCUGCUGCCUACACUGUGGUAUAGACCAGAAGUUAGAGCAACUAUCUGCAUUUUACUUGACAAGGAAAUGUUUUUAAUGAAAAACUUUAAUAAAAAUGUAUUCUUGGCUUCUGCAA